rnacentral:rRNA from 1 species
UACGUAGGCAGCAAGCGUUGUUCGGAGUUACUGGGCGUAAAGGGUGUGUAGGCGGUUGCUUAAGUUUGGUGUGAAAUCUCCCGGCUCAACUGGGAGGGUGCGCCGAAUACUGAGUGACUCGAGUGCGGGAGAGGAAAGCGGAAUUCCUGGUGUAGCGGUGAAAUGCGUAGAUAUCAGGAGGAACACCUGCGGUGUAGACGGCUUUCUGGACCAUUGUUGACGCUGAGACACGAAAGCGUGGGUAGCAAACAGG